rnacentral:lncRNA from 1 species
UUUUAAGCUCCCUUCCAAGGACCUUGGAAUUGAUUGCUCUUAUCAGGUGGUGAAGUAAUUUUCCUCAAUGGAUUUGGAUUUCUUUAUGAACAGAAAGAAUUUUGCUCAGGAAACUGCUGAGUUCAGUGAAAGGAGAUGACAGACCUGGCUUUGCAGCAGAGAUAUUGCUACUGAAAGUAUGAUUGUCACCACAAGCAGUGUGCCAUAAACACAUCAAGGUUUAGGCAGAAGAAAAAAUAUCAUUGGUUGAGGUUAGACUUAACCAUGGCAAAAAAAAAAAAAGAAGUGGGUUUAAAGUUGAUACUUUCACACUAGAAGCUGGACUUUGUAUCCACGCUGGAAAUAGGAUCUGUUUGUAUUGGCCGGAGAUAAAGCAUUCCUUCUGCAUCCAUCGGCGUGUUUGUUUUCACCUCUGCCUAUGCACGGGUACCACAGCGAAUGUUUCCAAACAGCAGAUUAAUCAGAAAGCACGAGGUGCAGCUGCAGCCAGACUGUGGUUUCUUCUCUCUCUCUUUGAGGCAGAGAGCAUUUGUAACCACUUUCCUGUCUUCACAGAGCUGCUGAUGAUCGCAUCUUCUUGGAAUUUGCUGCUUGUGCUGGCGCACAGCGACAGCAGAACCACGGCGGCCGCCGGGGGCUCGCUGAUUGUCUCUCUCCUCCUGGGGCUUGCCGCGGUCACUCACGC